GUUGUAGCUCACUCGUAGAGCACUUGCUUUGGCAUGAGACUCUUGAUCUCAGGGUUGUGGGUUCGAGCCCCACGUUGGGCA